GUGACCUACGGGAGGCAGCAGUAGGGAAUCUUCCACAAUGGACGAAAGUCUGAUGGAGCAACGCCGCGUGAGUGAAGAAGGGUUUCGGCUCGUAAAGCUCUGUUGGUAGGGAAGAAAGAUAGAGGUAGUAACUGGCCUUUAUUUGACGGUAAUUACUUAGAAAGUCACGGCUAAAUACGUGCCAGCAGCCGCGGUAAUACGUAGGUGGCAAGCGUUGUCCGGGUUUUUUGGGCGUAAAGCGAGUGCAGGCGGGU
rnacentral:rRNA from 1 species